CUUAAAUCAGCCAGAUGUUUCAUUUUAAGAUGGAACAAUACAUGGUUUAUUUCACUCCAGUUCUCAUGGAAAGGCCACUGCUUUCAUUUUGAUAGUCCUGUUUUGUGAGAGAGGAACAAAGUGAGUGGCUAACUGGUGAGAACAAGUGUGAGCCUCAGAAGAUUAGGGAAGAGAAAUGCAGUUGAAGAAAACUUUUUGCAAUUUUUAUACUGAAAUGCCCCCACGAGAUACAGAACUUGUGAAAGGUGAGUAAGGCCAUUGCACACAUUCAGGAAAACCUGGCAUUUGAAGCAUACAUGGAGAGCACACAGUGCUAUGUCUCUCCUUUGGUGGCAUCCUUGCACCAUUCACUGCUGCUUGCUCUCUGGUUUGGGUCCUCUAGAAGCAACGAGUGGUCCCGAAGCUCAAGAGAAGGAAUGAUGACCAGAAGCACUGGCUCGAAUAACCCUCAGACUAGGAAUGCCCUGAUCCUAAGGGGUGUCUCUCCUUUUUUGCAAGCUUCAGAUAUUUGAAGGAUUCCUUAAUUCUGCAGUGGUGUUGAAGACUGAAAUCCUGCAUACCACUCAUGAUUUGUGUAAUCCUGAAGAUGUUGAUUAACUUCUCUGGGUAUUUAUUCAUUCAUUCAUUCAUUCAUUCAUUCAUUCAUUCAUUCAUUCAUUCUUACCAGCUACAACUUGUUAGUAAUUAACUGAGAUGUGGUUGCUUUCUAACCAAAUAGCCAUUUAGUACUUCCUUCUCUAUAAAUAGGAGCUACAUUUUGACUUCCAAU
rnacentral:lncRNA from 1 species